AUUGAACGCUGGCGGCAUGCCUUACACAUGCAAGUCGAACGCCCCGCAAGGGGAGUGGCAGACGGGUGAGUAACACGUGGGAACGUACCCUUUGGUUCGGAAUAACUUGGGGAAACUCAAGCUAAUACCGGAUAAGCCCUUAUGGGGAAAGGUUUACUGCCGAAGGAUCGGCCCGCGUCUGAUUAGCUAGUUGGUGAGGUAAUGGCUCACCAAGGCGACGAUCAGUAGCUGGUCUGAGAGGAUGAUCAGCCACACUGGGACUGAGACACGGCCCAGACUCCUACGGGAGGCAGCAGUGGGGAAUAUUGGACAAUGGGGGCAACCCUGAUCCAGCCAUGCCGCGUGAGUGAUGAAGGCCUUAGGGUUGUAAAGCUCUUUUACCCGGGACGAUAAUGACUGUACCGGGAGAAUAAGCCCCGGCUAACUUCGUGCCAGCCGCCGCAGUAA
rnacentral:rRNA from 1 species